GGAAGGAUCAUUAACAUUAACAAACUUGUUCUAUAACAUUACUUGUUUACUUUUAAAAACUAUAAAACUGUAUCGUCUCAGCAGUGGAUGACUUGGCUUCUACAACGAUGAAGAACGCUGCAAAACGCGAUAGGUCGUGCGAUUUGCAAUGUUUAGUGAGUCAUUGUAUUUUUGAACGCGUGUGCGCUUGAGGGUAACUCCUUCAAGCAUGCCUUUUUGAGUGCCAUUUCAUGACUUUGUCAUUCAUGACAUUGAUUGGUUUCAUGCUUGCAUGAACUGAAAUCUUGUUCAAAGUUUGGUUUUAUGACUGAUUAUGAUGUGUUGUUAUAAAAAGUUGUAAAACCGCCUUUAACUUUGUAACACCGCUUGUAUUGAUUUACGAGCAAUUUUCAUUAAACACUUGGCCUCAAAUAAGGUAAGGCAACCCCCUGAACUUAAGCAUAUUAAUAAGGGGAGGAAAAGAAAUCAACAGAGAUUCUCUUAGUAACGGCGAGUGAAACGAGAACAGCUCAUGCCGAAUCCCAAGGGCUUUCGAGUUCUUGGGAGUUGUGGUCUAUGAUCUUAAGAUCAGUUUGAGAUUCGGUGUAAGUCCUUCUGAAACGAGGCGACAUAGAGGGUGAGAUUCCCGUCUGUCAUUGAGUCUAACAAACGUACGAUCUUAGGUUCAAGAGUAAGGCUGCUUGGGAGUGCAGUCUGAAAAAGGGAGGUAUUCUCCUUCCAAAGCUAAAUAUCUGUAGAAGACCGAUAGCGAACAAGUACCGUAAGGGAAAGUUGAAAAGUACUCUGAAGAGAGAGUUCAUAAGAACCUGAAACUGCUGAGAUAGAAGGGAAAAUCGACUAGUCUGGAUCGUAUGGAUGUAAGACGGAGGGGUACUUUUUUACUUGACAGAAAAUCUUGGGGUCACUUGAGAGAUUUUGUUAGGGCCGAAAGGAUCUUCAAGUUGUAAGUCUAUGCGAACGGGUCAUCCCACCUUGCGUACUGUAAACUCUUUAGAUUGAAGAUAUCAUUCUUAGCUUGCUAAUCAUGAUUUAUAGCGAUCUAGUCAGACUAUACAGAAUUCGAGGUGUGAGAUCCUCAUGCGGCAACUCGUUGUCGUGGUCCUUUGGGACCAUCAUGAGGGAUGACAAAAUGGUGAUUUUCCGCCCGUCUUGAAACACGGACCGGGGAGUCUUUCGUGUAUGCAAGUGAAUCGGUGUCAAAACCGUGACGCGUAAUGAAAGUGAAGACAUUCACUGGAAUGUUAAGGUGGAAUCCCCAUCGCCCAGCCUUACUUUGAUGAGGUAUGAGGCAGAGCAUAUACGAUAGGACCCGAAAGAUGGUGAACUAUGCCUGUCCAGGACGAAGCCAGGGGAAACUCUGGUGGAGGUUCGAAGCGUUUCUGACGUGCAAAUCGUUCGUCUGAGAUGGGUAUAGGGGCGAAAGACCAAUCGAACCAUCUAGUAGCUGGUUCCCGC
rnacentral:misc_RNA from 1 species